rnacentral:tRNA from 1 species
GCGGCUAUGGCGAAGGGGUUAACGCAUCGGAUUGUGGCUCCGACACUCGUGGGUUCGAUUCCCAUUAGUCGCCCCA